GAUAAAGUGAUGACCGGGACGAGUAUGCUGUUUUCGGAAUCAAGCAGCGAGCUGGGAUAGUGAGAGCCGGUGUUUCCGUACUGCAGAAAAUCACCCGGGAGCGCCUAACCGAAAACCGCAUGGUAAGUAGGUCUGGCCGUUUUAGGAACGUUAACCCCUAAUUCUUAAUUCUCUGAAGAAGGAAAUAGGGUGGUACCGCGGGAACCUCUCGCCCCUGUU
rnacentral:ncRNA from 1 species